GACGAGGGGUCCAAGCGUUGUUCGGAUUCAUUGGGCGUAAAGGGUGUGUAGGUGGCGCGCUAAGUCGGGUGUGAAAUUUCGGAGCUUAACUCCGAAACUGCAUUCGAUACUGGCGUGCUUGAGGACUGGAGAGGAGACUGGAAUUCAUGGUGUAGCAGUGAAAUGCGUAGAGAUCAUGAGGAAGACCAGUGGCGAAGGCGGGUCUCUGGACAGUUCCUGACACUGAGACACGAAGGCCAGGGGAGCAAACGGG
rnacentral:rRNA from 1 species